CAGCCGCCACGGUAAUACGGAGGGUGCAAGCGUUAUCCGGAUUUAUUGGGUUUAAAGGGUCCGUAGGCGGACUUAUAAGUCAGUGGUGAAAGCCUGUCGCUUAACGAUAGAACUGCCAUUGAUACUGUAAGUCUUGAGUAUAUUUGAGGUAGCUGGAAUAAGUAGUGUAGCGGUGAAAUGCAUAGAUAUUACUUAGAACACCAAUUGCGAAGGCAGGUUACCAAGAUAUAACUGACGCUGAGGGACGAAAGCGUGGGUAGCGAACAGGAUUAGAUACCCCCGUAGUCCCUGUCUCUAAUAA
rnacentral:rRNA from 1 species